GAUGAACGCUAGCUACAGGCUUAACACAUGCAAGUCGAGGGGAAACGAUAGAGAAAGCUUGCUUUUUCUAGGCGUCGACCGGCGCACGGGUGAGUAACGCGUAUCCAACCUGCCCAUCACUUGGGGAUAACCUUGCGAAAGUAAGACUAAUACCCAAUGGAUAUCUCUAGAAGACAUCUGAAAGAGAUUAAAGAUUUAUCGGUGAUGGAUGGGGAUGCGUCUGAUUAGCUUGUUGGCGGGGUAACGGCCCACCAAGGCGACGAUCAGUAGGGGUUCUGAGAGGAAGGUCCCCCCACAUUGGAACUGAGACACGGUCCAAACUCCUACGGGAGGCAGCAGUGAGGGAAUAUUGGGUCAAUGGACNGAGUCUGAACCAGCCAAGUAGCGUGAAGGAUGAAGGUCUUACGGAUUG
rnacentral:rRNA from 1 species